rnacentral:misc_RNA from 1 species
GAUGAAGAACGCAGCAAAAUGCGAUAAGUAAUGUGAAUUGCAGAAUUCAGUGAAUCAUCGAAUCUUUGAACGCACAUUGCGCCCGCCAGUAUUCUGGCGGGCAUGCCUGUUCGAGCGUCAUUUCAACCCUCAAGCACAGCUUGGUGUUGGGACUCGCGUUAAUUCGCGUUCCCCAAAUUGAUUGGCGGUCACGUCGAGCUUCCAUAGCGUAGUAGUAAAACCCUCGUUACGGGUAAUCGUCGCGGCCACGCCGUUAAACCCCAACUUCUGAAUGUUGACCUCGGAUCAGGUAGGAAUACCCGCUGAACUUAAGCAUAUCAAUAAGCGGAGGA